ACCUGGGAUAGCUCAGUCGGUAGAGCACUAGACUCUUAAUCUCAGAGUUGUGUGUUAGUGCUCCAUGUUGGGCG